GGAACGUGCCACAUCAGCAAACGACCGUCGGAGAAAUUGUUUAUAUUUCUCCCUUGCAAGAUUGAAAAUUCUCGUCUCAAUCCGGCGUCACUCUCCUCCGAAUCUUGGAAUCGAUGCUAAAAUUUUGUAGCUAGGGUUUGGAGAGAUCUUCAAAGAGAGUGGCAUGUUGGUUUCUGAUAGAGAGCUUGAGGAAGCUGGAAGAAAGCUUCUUGACCCACCUUCUUCUGUCGAUGAGAUUCUUUCUCUUCUCGACAAAGUUGAACACCUUAUGUCAACGAUUGAACAGUCACCUCCUUGCCCAACAAUGUGGAAACUGUAUCCGUUGAUAGGAGCAUUGGUCGGUCCUAAACACUUCCAACAUUCGGAUGCUGAUGUCAAAGUUGCAGUCGCGGCUUCCAUCAGUCGGAUUACGUUCAUAACUGCUCCAGAUCUUACCUAUGAUGAUGACCAGAUGAAAGAAGUAUUCCAGUUAAUUGUAUCAUAAUCUGAACAUCGAUCUGACAUAUAUGGUCGAUCCUACGCCAAGAGGAUAUCCAUCCUUGAAACUGUGUAUGAUGUCAAAUUAAGCAAGAGUGAUGCACUUCUUAUUGAGAUGUUCCAGCAUUUACUCAACGGUAUAAGGUACAAGCUAAUAUUUCCUUCCAACUAGAAUUGAAGUUCCAAUUUAGAAGCAACAGUUUAAUGGAUGUUGGCAUGUUGUUGUGUCCUUAUCUAACUGCAAGAUUUGUCUAACUGCAUACAUGUUAUGGUCUAUCUUCCUUAUCAAUCUUCAAUCGUUUUUCCUUCAGAUUUGUUCUGCUAAAUUCAUGGAUGUUGGCAUGUUGUUGUUACCACUUUGCGCAUUAGAUUGAACUACAUGGUGACCGUUGAUGUCAGACACUUGGUUUUAGUUUUGUUGACCUAUCUUCAAGCUUCUCAUUUAGAAUCAUUCUCCUACUCGCACUUCUGCCUCUCCAUAGACUUUAUCAUGUGCUACUUAGUUUUAUUUGUUCGUAGUGUAGUUUCACAACUGGUCUUUUGAGUGUUGCUUACGUUUGUUAUACAACAUCCAUCAAUGUACGUUUGAAUGAUGAUGAAUGUAUAUUUCCUUUUCAAAGACCAUCAUUCUGGGAAAGUGUUUUCAUCUAUGGAGAACAUUAUGACCCUUGUUGUAGAAGAAAGUGAGGAUAUACUUCCAGAGUUGCUUUCACCAAUUCUACAUUACGUUAAAAAGGAUGAUAAGAUUCCCCAAGUAUCACGGAAGUUGGCAAGCUCAAAACAUAGCUGGCUGACGCAGUGAAAUCAUUGGGCAUCUCUUUAGAUAAGUAUAGUAAGGUAGUGGCUUCAAUAUGUGAAGGAAGCAUUGAGUGCUUUGAAGCAGAACGAAGUUGCUGCUAAUAAAAAAGAACAGGAUAUAGACAGACGGCAAGAAAAGUUACUACUCAGUGAGUGAAGUUGUGUACCUAAGAGGAGACUGAACCUGGAGCAUUGGUUAAGUUCACUUCCUCAUGAUUCAUCUGUAAAUGUAGCUAUUUCUUCUAUAAAUGAGAAAGGACGUGAGACUGUGCCCCCAAGACGUGAAACAGUAGCUGAAGCAGGAGUACAAACUGAGGAAAGGAGAAGUCGUGAGUUAGUUAAAGAAGAGGAUACGGCAUAAACUAAGACUUGGACACACAAGCGACCUCAAGUCGAAAGCUGCAGCCUUCACAAAGCUCAUGGCGAGAUGGAGAAGACAAUUGCAGAAGGAGAAGUCUCUUGCUGCACCCGGAGACAUGCGCAAGAAACCACCUCAACCUUGCUCUGUCAAACAUUAGUUGGCUAAGGUGAAACAGAGCCUUGUAGACACUAUACCCAGUGUACGACAGUUUCGGUAUGAACAGAUCAUUAUAGACAGUGUACGGCAGUUUCAGUCUGAGAUCAAGAAAAAGGAAGAUAAUCUAGAAGUUUUGCUGCAGGAAAUUGACGUCUUAGGUGUGUGAUCUGGAUGUUGAUGAACACUUGUCUUUUGUUUUGCGGUUUAGUUUGGUUCUAGGUCUCUGAUAAUGUGAUGUGAAAACGAACAAGGGAGAAGAUAUCCGGAAUCAACAAAUUCUUUCACUCAUAAUAAAGUGUGAAAGUAAGACCGAAGAUCAGGGAUUGGACCGGAGAAUUUUGCUAACUCUUUUUCGUAUUAUGAACUUGUUCAACUAUGCGCUUACCAAAAAAAAAAAAAAACUUGUUCAACUAUGCAGUGAAGUAGUUGACCAGAGAGAACUCAUUUUUUAUAGCAUUAUCUCAUUCAAGUCU